UCGGCAAGGCACGAUUCCUGCCGCCAGGAACCAGUACCUUCUACCUGCCGGAAAAGAACAAAGAUCGGUGGCUGACAGACAUUUGGUGAGAUGCAUGGAGCAGCGAAAAACUGGACUUGAAACUGUGGGAGCCUGUCCAAGACAGCUCCAGUGAAACAUGCUAAAGCAGUGUUCCUGACUCUGCAUAACCUCCGCCCCCAAGUUUCCAAAUUCCCUCGACCCAUUCCAACUAUGAAACCUCACUCUCUUCCCGCACUUCUCUCUCCAUUUAUCUGAUCCCUGAGAAUGAUGCAUGGUGGGCCUGUCAGGAUAGCCUUAAGUUCUGUGUAUUCAUGCCCUUUCUGAUAACUGACCCCAAGUUCUGCAUCCUGGUAAACGUUAUCCUUCACCUUAUUUACUACUCUGCUCAGGACUUCUACCAGCUGUGGGAAGGCAACGAGACCCGUUCUACCCUUUGAGUAAAAAGAGAGCCAGGUUCCACUGUAAACUUAGCUGUACUCCUGGGACUGGGGGCAGGUGGCACAGGCACUUUAUUGCCUCCUUCAUGCUUUCCAACCAACACUAUUCUGAAUUGCAUGCCACCAUUGAUGAUGAUGUCCAUUUUCCAGAGAUAGGGAUCACUAAUCUAGAAAAAUAAUUAGUCUCACUAUCAGAAGUAGUUCUGCAAAAUAGACUAGGCCUAGACCUCUUGUUCUUACAACAAGGUGGCCUUUGUGCUGCCCUUAAAGAGAUGCAAGGAGCAACCGUUAUAUAAACUUUAAAGGCUGACAAGAGCCCACACAAACAGUCCAUUCAGCCUUCUCCCACAGGAAGAUAGCUUAGAGAAAGAAUAUCCUGUGGUAAUGAGUGAUGUCCUGAUAAGAAGAACCUGGCUCACACGAAUAGCUGAUAGCAAUCUGUAGUUAGGUUAAUUAAUAACCCUUC